GGGAUUUGUUUGUUUGUUUGUUUGUUUUUUGCUUUUUAGGGCUCCAUCUGUGGCACAUGGAAGUUCCCAGUCUAGGGGUCAAAUUGGAGCUGCAGUUGCCAGCCUACCCCACAGCUCACAGCAAUGCCGGAUCCUUAAUCCAUUGAGUGAGGCCCGGAAUCAAAUCUGUGUCCUCAUGGAUACUAGUCGGGUUCAUUGCUGCUGAGCCACAAUGGGAACUCCUCAUUUGUUUUUUUCUUUUAUGUUCUUCAGACUGGGUCAUCUCAGUUGACUAUGUUCACUAAUUCUUCUGUCUGCUCAAAUAUAGUCUUAAGUCUCUAGUUAAUUUUUCAUUUUUUUCUGUACUUUUUUUUUCUUUUUGUCUUUCAGGGCUGUACCCAUGGCAUUUGGAAGUUCCCAGGCUAGGGGUGGAAUUGGAGCUGCAGCUGCCGGCCUGUGCCACAGCCACAGCAGCAUGGGAUCCAAGCUGUAUCUACAACCUAUACCACAGCUCAAGGCAAGACCAGAUCCUUAACCCACUGAGUGAGGCUAGGUAUUGAACCUGCACCUUCACGGAUACUAGUUGAGUUUGUUACUACUGAGCCACAACAGGAACUCCUGUUACUACUUUUCAAUUCCAUAAUUUUUAAAAAAGUUUCUUUUUAUUGAGACUUAAUUCUCAUUGUUUUAGUUCUUUACACAUGAUUUUGUAUAGUUCUUUGAAUAUAUUUAAAAUACCUGAUAUAAAUAAAAUCUUUGCCUAGUAAGGCCAAUGUCUUCCUUAAUGAUAGUAUUAUCUGCUUUCUCCACUAUGUUUGGGCCACAUUUUCUUGUUUGUUUGCAUGCCUUAUAGUUUUUGUUGAAAACUGGAAGUUUACUAUAUGGAAUCCUGGAAAUCAGAUUCUUCCUACUCCCUCAAGAUUUGUUAUUGUUCUUGCUUUUUUUGUGUACUGACUAUCUUGAAUUUCUUCUUGUAAAAUUUGUAUUCUUUGUUAGGUAUGGCCAUCGAAAUCUCUGCUUAAUUAGCUUAGUGGUGAGCUAAUGAUUGGACAGAUUCCUUAACAGCCUAGGACCAGUAAGUCUCCUAUUCUUCACUGAGUGGCUCUGUGUUCAUAUUAGAGCUUACCUUCAAAACUCAGGCAGUUUCCUCCUCUGCCUCAGCUCUUACUUCCUGGGUGCAAAGAGCCUAAAUAUCCAUCAGAAGUGAGAACUUAAGACCUUCUCUGGGCUUUUCCGAACACUUGUACAGCCUUGUGUGUAAACAGUUGUAUGCAUUUUGUAGCUUUUUAGGUUCCCAAAAAUGAUGUCAGUUUUUCUGGACAUCUUAUCCCCCAGCUUUUUUUUUUUUUUUUUUUUUUGUCUUUUUAGGGCCUUGCCUAUGGCAUAUGGAAGUUCCCAGGCUGGGGGUCCAAUUGGAGCUAUAGCUGCUGGCCUGCACCACAGCCACAGCAGUGUAGCAUCCGAGCUGUGUCUGCAACCUACACCACAGCUUGUGGCAAUGCCAGAUCCCCAACCCACUGAGCAAGGGCAGGGGGAUCAAACCCACCUCCUCACAGAUACUAGUCGGGUUCGUUUCCACUGCAUCACAAGGGGAACUCCUAGUUAUCCAUUUGUAAUGCUCCCCAUUUCUGUAUGUAGAUUCAGAUUUCUGUCUUCUAUCAUUUUAUUUCUGCCCAAAGGACUUUCAGUAUUUCCUGUGGUACAUGUAUAUAGGUGAUGAAUUCUUUCAGCCCUUGUAAGACUGAUAAGGUCUUUAUGUCAUCUCUGCCUCUGUGUUUACGAGGUGUAUUUGUUAUUAGAUUUCUUACAUUUGUCUGGUUUUGUUAUCAGUGCAGUUGUGGCCUUGUAAGUUAAAUUAGAGUGUUCCCUUCUCUUUUUUCUGAAAGUGAUUGUGAAUUAUUAGUAUCUCUUCCUUAUGUUGAUAGAAUUCAGUAAUGAAACCAUUUGGACCUGGAAUUUUCUUUCUUUCUUUGUUUUUUGUUGCAGUCACGCUCUAGAGGAGCUAUUUGGGGGGGGGGGUUGUUUGUUUUUAAUUUAAUUUAAUUUUUUUGAAUUAUUUGCCCAAUACAAUUUUUUUUCUACUGUACAGCAUGGUGACCCAGUUACACAUACAUGUACACAUUCUAUUUUCUCACAUUAUCAUGCUCCAUCAUAAAUGACUAGACAUAGUUCCCAGUGCUGCAUAGCAGGAUCUCUUUGCUAAUCCAUUCCAAAGGCAAUAGUUUGCAUCCAUUAACCUCAAGAUACCAAUCCACCCCACUCCCUCUCCCCCUUGGCAACCACAAGUCUCCUUUCCCAUUUCAUGAUUUUCUUUUUUGUGGAAAGGUUCAUUUGUGUCCUAUGUUAGAUUUCAGAUAUACAAUAUCACGUGGUAUUUGUCUUUCUCUUUCUGACUUACUUCACUCAGUAUGAGAGUCUCUGGUUGCAUCCAUGUUGCUGCAAAUGGCAUUCUUUUGUUUUUUUAUGGCUGAGUAGUAUUCCAUUGUGUAUAGAUACCACAUCUUCCUAAUCCAAUCAUCUGUCGAUGGACAUUUGGGUUGUUUCCAUGUCUUGGCUAUUGUGAAUAGUGCUGCAAUGAACAUGCGAGUGCAUGUGUCUUUUUUAAGGAAGGUUUUGUCCUUUUUUUUGUUUUUGUUUUGUUGCUUUUUAGGGCUGCACCCACAGCAUAUGGAGGUUCCCAGGCUAGGGGUCGAAUGGGUGCUACAGCUGCCAGCCAGCCUGUGUCACAGCCAUAGCAACACAGGAACCGAGCUGCUUCUUCGACCUACACCAUAGUUCACAGCAACACAAGAUCCUUAAGCCACUGAGUAAGGCCAGUGAUUGAACCUGCAACCUCAUGGUUACUAGUUGAAUCAUUUCUGCUGUACCACAAUGGGAACUCCAAAACAACUUUUGUUUUUUUGGUUUUUUGGUUUUUUUUGGACCUGAUGUUUUCUUUGUUGGGGAGUUUUUAAAGAUGAAUGCGGUAUCUUUAGUAUAUAGACAGCUAAUAUAUACAGAGGUAGUCAUGAGCUAUCCUUUUCUUCAUGAGUGGAUAUUCCUUUGUUAUCCCUUUAAUGUCUACUGAGUCUAGUGAUACCAUCUCUUUCAUUCCUGAUAUUGGUAAUUUUUGUCUCCUUUUUCCUUGGUCAGUCUAGGUAGAGAUUUAUCAGUUUGUUUAUAUUUUUAAAGAAUCAGCUUUUGCUUUUGUUACUUUUCUAUAUUUUAAUGUUUUCAGUUUCUUUGGUUUCUGCUUUUUCUUCCUUAAGGUUACUUUGUGUUUAAUUUGCUUAAUUUGUGGAAGCCUACAUUAUUGAGGGGGGAAGAGCACACAGAGAAGUAGUUUAUUUAAGUCAGAAGCGAAGAAGUAAUACACACCCUAAAGAGCAAAGGUGCUGGCAUCCCCCUGAGUGAAGAGUGCCUACAUUAUUGAUUUGAGACUUUUCUAAUAGAAGUAUUUUAAUACUGUAAGUUUUUGUCUAAGCAGUGUUUUUUUUUUUUUUUUUUUCAGCAUCCUGAAGUUUUGAUGUAUUUUCACUUUCAUUCCAUUCAAAUUAUUUUUUAAUUUCCCUUUGACCCAUGACCUAAAUAAGUAAUGUUAAAUUUCUGGUUAUUAGAGAAUUUUUCCAGGUAUCCUUAUGUUAUUGAUUUCUAACUUAAUUUCCUUAUGGUCAUAGAGCAUACUUUGUAUUCACUAGUCCGUAUUUGAGGAUUUAAGUGAUAACUGUUCAAUACUGCAGCUGCUUUUGUUUUGACCCUUUGAGUUUUCCAGCUCUCCCUUCAGUUGUUGGGUUCUAAGUAGUUAAAUCAUCUUCUAAAUUGUAGAUGAUCCCAGCCAGCUUCAGUGCUCCAGGAUAGGCAUUGGAAUCUGGACAUGGGAAUAUAUAAGAGAAUUAGGCGUGUACCUAAAAGCCAUACCUAAAUAGAACUCUGAACCUGGGAAUGUGAAUAGCAAGGAUUCAUUUAAUAAAGGAUUAUCCUUUAUUAAAGUCCAUUAUAGGGGUCUUCAGCAGUUGAGUAAACACAAUGGCGAGUAUCCAAAAGAGUUCGAUGUCAGGGUCAGAACUGAAGUACCUAAAAUAUUGUAUUUGUGUCUUUCGGCUUUUCAGGGUUUGGAUUUUUUCCCCUGAAUCUUUAUUGUAAAAAUAUUCAAACAUGAAACAAUAGUAACCAUGAACACACAUAUACUCCGCAUGUAAAUGUAGUAGAUAAAAUUUUUCUUUCUUCACAUUUUUCUCUUUUAUGUGUAUGUGUGUGAGUGUUAAUACGUAGACAUUCUCACUCCCCAGUUUAACAGCUGGACCAGUUGAAAAUUGUAGGCAUCAUAAUACUUUAUUCCUCAGAAUUUCAGCUUGCCUUUCCUUUAUGAAGGACUAUUUUCCUGUGUCAUUACAAUACCGUUAUCAUACCUAAGAAAAAUUUAAAGUAAUUUCUUAAUGACAUCUAUUAUGUAGUCUUACUCAGAUUUAUCUAGUUGCCCCAAAAAUGUCUUUCAUAACUUUUUUCCAUAGCAGGUUCCAAUCAAAGCUCAUGUUUUGUCUCAUUUAGUGUAGACCAGUGGUUCUCAACUCAGAACAGUUUUGCCCUACAGGGGAUAUUUGGCAAUGUCUGAUGAUUUAACUUUUUCCUUCUUCCUUCAUUCUUUGUGUUUCUUUUAAAUGAGAAGUUAGGUUUAGAAGUUCAGUUAGAUUCAAGUUAAGCAUUUUGAAUAAGAACUUCAUCUUUGGAGUUCUCUUGCAGCUCAGCCGGUUAAGGAUCCAGCAUUUUCACUGCUGUGGUAUGGUUUCAUUCCCUGGCCUGGGAACUUCCACAUGCCAUGGAUAGGGCUCCCCCCCGCAAAAAAAAAGCUCACUUCAUCUUUGUUUUGUAUACUUCAUAUUGCAGAACUUCGAGAGGCUAAGUUUGGUCACUUGGUUAAGGUAAUGUAUCUACAGUGUAAUUUUCUUUAGCAGUUCCCAGUAUUGGGGGUGAUCCUCUGACACCUUGCUCAUCCAGUUACCUAUGAUGCUUAGUAUAUCUGUUGAUAAUCCUUACCCAAAUUAGUUAUGGGUUUGUUCUUUUUAACAUGUCAUUCUUUUCUUCUUCUUUUUUUCUUUUUUUUUUAUGUUUUUAAAUUUUUUUUUUUUUUCUUUUUUGGGCCAUACUCUCGGCGUAUGGAGGCUCCUGGGCUCGGGGUCCAAUCUGAGCUACGGCUGCCGGUCUACGGCACAGCCAGAGCAACUCGGGAUCCGAGCUGUGUCUGGGACCUACAGCACACAGCUCACGGCAACACCGGAUCCUUAACCCACUGAAUGAAGCCAGGGAUCGAACCUGCAUCCUCCUGGAUCCUAGUGGGGUUUGUUAACCACUGAGCUACAAAGGGAACUCCCUCUUCUCUUCUUUUAUUACCAGCAUUCUUCUGUAAAGAGCCUUUCUUCUCUCAUUUUUCCCUUUUAAUAUUAGUUGGGAUUUAUGAAUUUUUAUUUAAUAUUUUAAAGUCCACUUCAGUCAUUAUUUUUGCAGUUCUAAAGUUGAUGCAGGUGUCUCCUUCAAACUGUCUCCUUUGUGCCUUUGAAGUCGUCUCAUUAUCAUUAGUGUUUUGAGUACUUUCUUGCUUUCUUGGCACAAUCAGAUGUCUCAGUCUUGCUCUCAAUUUCCCAGCUCUGGUUGUAGCCGUUUCACCAAAUAGCCCUAGGACUUUUUAAUGGAGCAAAAUGUUUAAAACUAAGAUCUGGGGUGGGAGGUGUUCUAGCGGCCCACUCGAUUAAGAAUCCGACAUUGUCACUGUAGCGGCUCUGGUUACUACUGUGGUGUGGUUCACUCCCUGGCCAGGAAACUUCUGUAUGCCAAGGGCAUGGCCAAAAACAAAAACAAAAACAAAAAACCAUCACUAAACAGCUAAGAUCUGGGAGGUAGGUAUGCUCAUUGCUACUGGGUUAUCAUUGUUUCUAAGACGUUUUAGUCAGCAGAGCUAUAAAAUACUUUUUAUCUUUAAAUCAUUUGUUCCUAUUGAUACCCAAUUCAGAAUUAACCUAAGUUUUUUCGUGUCUUUAAUUUUAUAUAUUUUAUAUUUGUUUCUUUUUCUCUUUUAUAAAAAAAUGUGGUUUCAGAGUUCCCGUCAUGGCACAGCAGAAAUGAAUCCGACUAGGAAUUGUAAGGCUUCAGGUUCGAUACCUGGCCUUCCUCAGUGGGUUAAGGAUCUGGCAUUGCUGUGAGCUGUGGCAUAGGUCUAAGAUGCGGCUUGGAUCCUUUGUUGCUGUGGCUGUGGUGUAGGCCGGCAGGUGUAGCUCUGAUUGGAGCCCUAACCUGGGAACCUCCAUAUGCCAUGGGUGCAGCUCUUAAAAAAAAAAAAAAAGCAAAAAAAAA
rnacentral:lncRNA from 1 species